rnacentral:rRNA from 1 species
AACGCGAAGAACCUUACCUGGGCUUGAACCGCUACUGACUAACGGUAGAAAUAUCGUCUUCCCGCAAGGGACAGUAGUAGAGGUGCUGCAUGGCUGUCGUCAGCUCGUGCCGUGAGGUGUUGGGUUAAGUCCCGCAACGAGCGCAACCCUUACUCGUAGUUGCCACCCGCAAGGGGGAACUCUACGAGGACUGCUCCGGAUAACGGAGAGGAAGGUGGGGAUGAUGUCAAGUCAGCACGGCCUUUAUGUCCAGGGCUACACACGUGUUACAAUGCGCGCUACAAUGCGUCGCGAACCCGCGAGGGGGAGCUAAUCGCAAAAAAGCGCGCUCAGUUCGGAUUGCAGUCUGCAACUCGACUGCAUGAAGCUGGAAUCGCUAGUAAUGGCGCAUCAGAACGGCGCCGUGAAUACGUUCCCGGGCCUUGUACACACCGACGCAC